rnacentral:rRNA from 1 species
GACGAACGCUGGCGGCGUGCUUAACACAUGCAAGUCGAACGCUGAAGGCCCAGCUUGCUGGGUUGAAUGAGUGGCGAACGGGUGAGUAACACGUGAGUAACCUGCCCUCUUCUUUGGGAUAACGGUCGGAAACGGCUGCUAAUACCGGGUAUUCACUGUCCUUCGCAUGGGGGGUGGUGGAAAGGUUUUUUCUGGUGGGGGAUGGGCUCGCGGCCUAUCAGCUUGUUGGUGGGGUGAUGGCUUACCAAGGCUUUGACGGGUAACCGGCCUGAGAGGGUGACCGGUCACAUUGGGACUGAGAUACGGCCCAGACUCCUACGGGAGGCAGCAGUGGGGAAUAUUGCACAAUGGGCGAAAGCCUGAUGCAGCGACGCCGCGUGAGGGAUGGAGGCCUUCGGGUUGUAAACCUCUUUCGCUCAUGGUCAAGCCGCAACUGUGGUUGUGGUGAGGGUAGUGGGUAAAGAAGCACCGGCUAACUACGUGCCAGCAGCCGCGGUAAUACGUAGGGUGCGAGCGUUGUCCGGAAUUAUUGGGCGUAAAGGGCUUGUAGGCGGUUUGUCGCGUCUGCCGUGAAAUCCUCUGGCUUAACUGGGGGCGUGCGGUGGGUACGGGCAGGCUUGAGUGCGGUAGGGGAGACUGGAACUCCUGGUGUAGCGGUGGAAUGCGCAGAUAUCAGGAAGAACACCGGUGGCGAAGGCGGGUCUCUGGGCCGUUACUGACGCUGAGGAGCGAAAGCGUGGGGAGCGAACAGG